rnacentral:rRNA from 1 species
AUGCUAGCAAGCAGCGACCUUUCUCCAAAUAUCUCAUCAAAUGGAGAUGCUGUUGGGGAUGCCCCUGGCCGUGAGCCCGGUGGCAUCGCCAUUGUGGUCAGAGGUAUUGGGGUAAAGCAGCAUGUAUGGGAACUUGACCGGGCCAUUGCGGUUCUUGAGCUGGGGGUUCCCGUUCAAGGCUACCACCUCGCUCUCGAUGCCCUCCAGCCUCGUGCCAAACCGCUCGAACGCCUCCAGAGCCUUGGCGUCCGAUGUCCACUCCGGCGUGUCACGUUGCCCGAGGUAAAUCUCGUCCGAGGAGUGCUUGGAUAG